GAAAUGCGAUAAGUAAUGUGAAUUGCUGAAUUCAGUGAAUCAUCGAAUCUUUGAACGCACAUUGCGCCCGCCAGUAUUCUGGCGGGCAUGCCUGUCCGAGCGUCAUUUCAACCAUCAAGCCCCCGGGCUUGUGUUGGGGACCUGCGGCUGCCCGCAGGCCCUGAAAACCAGUGGCGGGCUCGCUGUCACACCGAGCGUAGUAGCAAUCACCUCGCUCAGGGCGUGCUGCGGGUUCCGGCCGUUAAACAGCCUUACAAAACCCAAGGUUGACCUCGGAUCAGGUAGGAAGACCCGCUGAACUUAAGC
rnacentral:misc_RNA from 1 species